rnacentral:rRNA from 1 species
GACGAACGCUGGCGGCGUGCUUAACACAUGCAAGUCGAGCGGAGCGGCGAACGGGUGAGUAACGCGUUAGUAACUGUCCCCCUCUCUGGGAUAACAGUUGGAAACGGCUGCUAAUACCGGAUUGUGGGGUAUGACUCGCGUCAUAUCAGCUUGUUGGUGGGGUAGUGGCCUACCAAGGCGACGGCGGGUCGCCGGCCUGAGAGGGCGACCGGCAACAGUGGGCUGAGAUCGGGCCCAAACUCCUAGGGGAGGAAGCAGGGGGGAAUAUUGCACAAUGGGGGAAACCCUGAUGCAGCAACGCGCGGGCGGGAUGACGGCCUUCGGGUUGUAAGCCGCUUUCAGCGAGGAGGAAGGUUAAUAACCUUGGUGAUUGACGUUACUCGCAGAAGAAGCACCGGCUAACUCCGUGCCAGCAGCCGCGGUAAUAC